AGAGUCGACGCCAGCACGCGCAACUCGCAGAAGCCAGCAGUGCAGUAUCGCUCGCUAGUGCCGCCCUGUUUUCUUCCGUGGGUCCUCCCGAGAUGCAAAACAUGGAGCAAGGGCAAUACCAAGGACAGUACCAGUACGACUAUGAUGGCGGGCAA